rnacentral:rRNA from 1 species
GUGAAAUUGUUGAAAGGGAAGCGCUUGCAGCCAGACGUGCCCGUAGUUGCUCAUCGGGGGUUCUCCCCCGUGUACUCUUCUAUGGGCAGGCCAGCAUCAGUCCGGGCGGUUGGAGAAAGACCUGUGUCAUGUAGCUGUUUUCGGGCAGUGUUAUAGGGCAGGUGGAAUGCAACCAGCCUGGACUGAGGUCCGCGCAUCUGCUAGGAUGCUGGCGUAAUGGCUGUAAGCGGCCCGUCUUGAAACACGGACCAAGGAGUCUAACAUCUAUGCGAGUGUUUGGGUGUCAAGCCCGAGCGCGUAAUGAAAGUGAACGGAGGUGGGAACCUUUUAGGUGCACCAUCGACCGAUCCUGAUGUCUUCGGAUGGAUUUGAGUAAGAGCAUAGCUGUUGGGACCCGAAAGAUGGUGAACUAUGCCUGGAUAGGGUGAAGCCAGAGGAAACUCUGGUGGAGGCUCGCAGCGGUUCUGACGUGCAAAUCGAUCGUCAAAUUUGGGCAUAGGGGCGAAAGACUAAUCGAACUAUCUAGUAGCUGGUUCCUGCCGAAGUUUCCCUCAGGAUAGCAGUAACGUUUUCAGUUUUAUGAGGUAAAGCGAAUGAUUAGAGGCCUGGUGGUUGAAA